rnacentral:lncRNA from 1 species
UCACAGGUCACGCAAUAGAGUCCACUCAAUGCUUGAAAACAGUAUUUAAUAUAUGCAGCUCAUCCCCCUUCUUUUCUUGCUUUCCGAAAUCACCUGUUACUUUAUCAUCAUUGCUAAGGUUAAGAAGCAGGGCCUUGUACAUAUGACUUCUACCACUCAGUUACUCUCCCAGCCCUAUAGCCUCUUCUAAGCCAGAGUCUCACCUUGAAAUCACCUGUGUCUGGGGGCUGAGGAUUUAGCUCAGUGGUAGAGCGCUUACCUAGGAAGCGCAAGGCCCUGGGUUCGGUCCCCAGCUCAAAAAAAAAGAACCAAAAAAAAAAAAAAAAUCACCUGUGUCUGCCAACCCUGCAGUCUUACUUGGUAGAAAUCACAGCUUAAUGAGUUUAUACAUCCUUGAAUUACAGUAAAGAGUUGGCACAGGCCGGAAGUUUCAGUGCCCAGGUAACCACUGACCCUAGCCAUGGUACCUGGGCCUCAGUGUGGUCUUUCAUGUCGCAGCCUCUAUCGGCUCCCUUCUUCGUCCUCACAUCUGUCCUGCAGUGUCCUGAUGUGUUCUCUAUGUAAGAUGUUCCUACUGUGCCUUUCCCACAGUUCCCCAGUGUUUCACACUAGUAGAGUGUUGGCUGGCUACUCUAGACCCAGUAGAGGUCUUGUGGCUGCAUCCUUCUGUUUGCCCCAACAUGGUCUCUCCUGUAUUCUAUUGAAAUAUUUUCUUUUUGUUGGUUGGUUACUGUUGUUUCUUGAGCUAGGGUAUUCUUUACCUGGCCUGGAACUUACAGGGAUC